GCCCCAGUAGCUCAGGGGAUAGAGCGUCUGCCUCCGGAGCAGAAGGCCGCAGGUUCGAUUCCUGUCUGGGGCACCA
rnacentral:tRNA from 1 species